rnacentral:rRNA from 1 species
GAUCAUGGCUCAGGAUGAACGCUAGCGACAGGCUUAACACAUGCAAGUCGAGGGGCAUCAUGGUAAGUAGCAAUACUUAUUGAUGGCGACCGGCGCACGGGUGAGUAACGCGUAUGCAACUUACCUAUCAGAGGGGGAUAGCCCGGCGAAAGUCGGAUUAAUACUCCAUAAAACAGGGGUUCCGCAUGGGACUAUUUGUUAAAGAUUCAUCGCUGAUAGAUAGGCAUGCGUU